UGCAAGUCGAACGAACUCUGGUAUUGAUUGGUGCUUGCAUCAUGAUUUACAUUUGAGUGAGUGGCGAACUGGUGAGUAACACGUGGGAAACCUGCCCAGAAGCGGGGGAUAACACCUGGAAACAGAUGCUAAUACCGCAUAACAACUUGGACCGCAUGGUCCGAGUUUGAAAGAUGGCUUCGGCUAUCACUUUUGGAUGGUCCCGCGGCGUAUUAGCUAGAUGGUGGGGUAACGGCUCACCAUGGCAAUGAUACGUAGCCGACCUGAGAGGGUAAUCGGCCACAUUGGGACUGAGACACGGCCCAAACUCCUACGGGAGGCAGCAGUAGGGAAUCUUCCACAAUGGACGAAAGUCUGAUGGAGCAACGCCGCGUGAGUGAAGAAGGGUUUCGGCUCGUAAAACUCUGUUGUUAAAGAAGAACAUAUCUGAGAGUAACUGUUCAGGUAUUGACGGUAUUUAACCAGAAAGCCACGGCUAACUACGUGCCAGCAGCCGCGGUAAUACGUAGGUGGCAAGCGUUGUCCGGAUUUAUUGGGCGUAAAGCGAGCGCAGGCGGUUUUUUAAGUCUGAUGUGAAAGCCUUCGGCUCAACCGAAGAAGUGCAUCGGAAACUGGGAAACUUGAGUGCAGAAGAGGACAGUGGAACUCCAUGUGUAGCGGUGAAAUGCGUAGAUAUAUGGAAGAACACCAGUGGCGAAGGCGGCUGUCUGGUCUGUAACUGACGCUGAGGCUCGAAAGUAUGGGUAGCAAACAGGAUUAGAUACCCUGGUAGUCCAUACCGUAAACGAUGAAUGCUAAGUGUUGGAGGGUUUCCGCCCUUCAGUGCUGCAGCUAACGCAUUAAGCAUUCCGCCUGGGGAGUACGGCCGCAAGGCUGAAACUCAAAGGAAUUGACGGGGGCCCGCACAAGCGGUGGAGCAUGUGGUUUAAUUCGAAGCUACGCGAAGAACCUUACCAGGUCUUGACAUACUAUGCAAAUCUAAGAGAUUAGACGUUCCCUUCGGGGACAUGGAUACAGGUGGUGCAUGGUUGUCGUCAGCUCGUGUCGUGAGAUGUUGGGUUAAGUCCCGCAACGAGCGCAACCCUUAUUAUCAGUUGCCAGCAUUAAGUUGGGCACUCUGGUGAGACUGCCGGUGACAAACCGGAGGAAGGUGGGGAUGACGUCAAAUCAUCAUGCCCCUUAUGACCUGGGCUACACACGUGCUACAAUGGAUGGUACAACGAGUUGCGAACUCGCGAGAGUAAGCUAAUCUCUUAAAGCCAUUCUCAGUUCGGAUUGUAGGCUGCAACUCGCCUACAUGAAGUCGGAAUCGCUAGUAAUCGCGGAUCAGCAUGCCGCGGUGAAUACGUUCCCGGGCCUUGUACACACCGCCCGUCACACCAUGAGAGUUUGUAACACCCAAAGUCGGUGGGGUAACCUUUUAGGAACCAGCCGCCUAA
rnacentral:rRNA from 3 species